rnacentral:rRNA from 1 species
UACGUAGGGUGCAAGCGUUAAUCGGAAUUACUGGGCGUAAAGCGUGCGCAGGCGGUUUUGUAAGUCUGAUGUGAAAUCCCCGGGCUCAACCUGGGAAUUGCAUUGGAGACUGCAAGGCUAGAAUCUGGCAGAGGGGGGUAGAAUUCCACGUGUAGCAGUGAAAUGCGUAGAUAUGUGGAGGAACACCGAUGGCGAAGGCAGCCCCCUGGGUCAAAACUGACGCUCAUGCACGAAAGCGUGGGGAGCAAACAGG